GGGUGAGUAAAUAAUAAGACUUUAUUUUAUUUUUUUUACUAUUAUUUUACUUUGUUUUUUAGAAAAAGAAGGGAGUAAAAAAAAGAAAGAAAAAGAAAAAAAAAGGAAAACGAAAAAAAAGGAAAAAGGAAAGAAAUGAAAAAAGAGAAAAAAAAAAGAAAACAAAGAGAAACUGAAAAGGGAAAGAAAAAAAAGAAAAAAAAAGAAAGAAGGACCAAGUGAAUAAAAUGAAAAAAAUAGUGGUAAUUAAAGGGAAGGGGUUCUCCACGGUGAUGAGGGGAUUUUUUUUGUAAGAAAUGGGGCACCAGGCCCAUGAGUAAUUAAUAUUAGGGCAACAACCGCCACUUUAAAAGGACCAUUCUUCUUUUUACGAAAGGGAAAGCCGCUAUACUAUUUUGGCUUUUGAACGUUUUUAAGGAGAGCUUUGAACAUGAUAUUAAUGUGGUUGCAUUUUGAUGACUGAAAAAAAAAAAAGCACACUCUCUUUUCCGUUUUCAUUUAUGCAAGGCUGAAACAUUUUUUUCUUUUGAGUUUCUCAUUGAAUGAAAAAGGUUUAGCAUAGCAAUGUCUUGAGGCGAGAGCUUUCAAUACGUUACAACAUUUGAGGAAUUUUUUCCUUUUCCUUACCUUGAAGAAGCACGUUGGUUUAUAAAGGGGGCACACGCUGUUGUUACGACCUACACCAAUGUGACGUUUUGCUUUGGCUGGUGCAUUGAUUUGACUGAUUCAUUUGGCAAAGAGAAAAAGGCUGAAGGGUGCAGAGGUGGAAGCGCCAACCAGUUGCAGCUUGCCAAUCGGAGGAAAGGGAAGCAAACCCUAGAAGGUUUGGGAGCUUGAUUUGAUGAAGGUUUUUACAUCUACACCUCUAUCCUUACUUAGUUGUUUUUUAUUUUCUUAAUAUUUGUUUAAUUAAUUGACUGUUUCGUUUUUUUCACUUUUAUUUUUUUACUCUUUUAAAAUUUGUUUGGCUAAUAUAAUAAAUUUCUUGUGUUUUGUAUUUUAUUUUUAUUAAUUAUUUCGUUUAUUUUAAACUUUAAUUUUAUUUGUUAAUAAAAGCGACGUAACAAACAUAAAAACUAAAAGAUCAAAAAUGAAAACGGCAUAUAAAAAAAGUGGUGUCAGGGCUUCUUAAUAGUAACAUUUUCUUAAGCAAUUGUUUUCUAAAAAAAAUAUUAGAUUAUAAAAUUAAAAAAUAGUUUUUAUUAUUUCUUUGAUAGUUAACACCUUUUUAACAACAGGUUUUGUUUUUUAAUUUAGUUUUAUUUAGAUUUCUCUUAUUUUAGUUUGAAAUACUUGUAAUUAUUAUAGUCAUGUAUUAUAAUUUAAGUAUUUUUAUUCUUAUUUAAUAAAAAUUACAAAAUUAAAAUAAUACAAAUUUAAAAGGUUAAAGUGCACGUGCGAUCGUUCGCGUAGGCCUUGUGCUAAAAACCUUUUUCCUUCUUUUACAAAAAAAUAAUAAAAAUAUCUUUUAAAAGGUUAAAGCACAGGUGCGUCCGUUCGCGUAGGCCUUCUGCUAAAAACCUUUUUCACUUCUUUUACAAAAGAUAUAAAAAAAUGUUUUCAAGGUUUAAGUGGGUGUGUGAUCGCUUGCAUCGUCCUUGUGCUAAGACCUUUCCUUCUUUUAUAAAAAAUAUCAAAAAAUUUGUUAAAGGUUUAGGCGCGUGUGUGAUCACUCGCAUCGUCCUCGUUCUGAGACCUUUUUUCUUUUAUAAGAAAAAAAAAUAAAAAAUGUUUUAAAGUUUUGGACACGUGCGUGAUCGCUCGAAUCGUCGUCGUGCCAAAACCUUUUCCUCUUUAAAAACAAAAAGUUUUAAAGGUUUAAGCGCGUUGUCAUCGUUCACAUCGUCCUAGUGCUGAGACCUUUUCUUUUUCUCACUUAAAAAUAAAAAAUAAAAAAACAUAAAACAUCCAUGAUUUCAAACAAACAAACAAUUUUUCAGCUAGAACUACGUAACCCUGAUUUCUCAUAUUGAGAAUAUGUAGGAGCAAGGUCAAUGCUUGUCAGGCAUCAAAAAAUACAAAAAAAUUAUAUUUUGUUUCUUUAUAACGUCUUUUUUGGGAUAGUUAAACAUUUUGAAAACCACAUCAAAGUCGCAUAUUUAAUUAAAGGUAUUGCCUCAAACAGUCAAGAACAACCAAAUUGAUUUUGCAAUUAAUAUAGUUGACUAUCAUAAAUAUUUUAACUAACUUUUGAAAUAUAUUCGUUACUAUACACAAGCAUAACAUAAUUUUAAAUCAAACAACUAAUUAAGUCGAAUCCGUUGCACAUGAAGUCAACUUAGGCACAUCGGCUUAGUUUGAAAAACUUUUUAAUGCAAAAUCACUCACAACACUGCUUCUGAACAUUUGUGCAGAGACACGAGUUUUAAUCCAAAUGUUUAAUAAUGAAGUCGACUUAAAACUUGCAGUUAUGUUACACAAUGUAAGUUCAUAAAAGUGCAUGUGGUUUUCUCUUGAAAACAUAUUAAAUGCAAUCAUAAAUGAUGUAUCAGAUUGUCAUCACCCAAUUUUGUCCGGGUGAGUAAAUAAUAAGACUUAAUGUUAUUUUUUUUACUAUUAUUUUACUUUAUUUUUAUUAUUUGAUUAGUUUUUUAGGGUGUGUUCACUUGAGGGUGAUUGGAGGUGAUUGGGGGAGAGUGAUUGAGUGAAUUUGAGGAUAAUUUUUUUUGUUAUUUAUUUGAGUGAAUUUGAAGGUAAACGAGAGUGAAUUUUGAAAUAAAGUUUGUGAGAAUUGAUGUAGGAUUUAGUUUAUAUGACAAAUUAAAAAAAUUUACUUCAAAAUUCAUUCUCGUUUACCUCCAAAUUCAUUCAAAUAAACAACAAAAAAUAUUAUCCUCAAAUCCACUCAAUCACUCUCCCCCAAUCACCUCCGAUCACCCCCAAGUGAACACACUCUUAGAAAAAGAAGGGAGUAAAAAAAAGAAAGAAAAAGAAAAAAAAUGAAAAAAUGAAAACAAAAAAAAAGGAAAACGAAAAUAAAGGAAAAAGGAAAGAAACGAAAAAAAGAGAAAAAAAAAAGAAAACAAAGCGAAACUAAAAAGGGAAAGAAAAAAAAGAAAAAAAAAAGGACCACGUGAAUAAAAUGAAAAAAAAUAGUGGUAAUUAAAGGGAAGGGGUGCUCCACGGUGAUGAGGGGAUUUUUUUUUGUAAGAAAUGGGGCACCAGGCCUAGGACCAAUUAAUAUUAGGACAACAACCGCCACUUUAAAAGGACCAUUCUUCUUUUUACGAAAGGGGAAGCCGCUAUACUAUUUUGGCUUUUGAACGUUUUUAAGGGGAGCUUUCAAAAUGUUAUUGAUGUGGUUGCAUUUUGAUGAAUGAAAAAAAAAGCACACUCUCUUCUCCGUUUUCAUUUAUGCAAG
rnacentral:lncRNA from 1 species